AAACCAGCAAGAUUAUCAAAGCUAAUAACGCUAAACUAGAGGCAGAAUUAUUUGGCGAGAGCAGUUCAUUCGGUGCUAACAUCAUUCCUGCAGCAACCACGUUUGAAGGUAAGAACAAGAUUGACUACAUGAAAGCAUAUUUAAUUGCAAUAUUAAUAUCCAUCUUUUGCAUUCCAGAUCCGGAACCAAUAAGCCAUCAUUCGUUUGAUGAAGAAGUUGAAGCAGAAGAAAUUAUCAUCGACUGGUUAAUUUCCGUUGAUUGUGACAAUAUAGGCCGCUUGUAAAUGAGCUGAAUGAGUUGAUACAGAAUGGCAUUGUGAUAGCCGAUAAGCUCAUCCAAAUAUGCGUUAGAGCUAUCAUCGCAGAUUCACCAGCGCGUGCGUUCAUAAAUGGUGUUGCAUACUUCAAUCAUAAACAUGGGUGCC